GAGUUUGAUCAUGGCUCAGGGUGGUAGGAACAUUGAGGCUGGGGCCGCCUGAGGCUUUGGCAUGAGGCUGGGGGGCUGAGGAGAGAUGUGAAACAGUUACACCGGGGUGAAGGUGUCAGAGAGGCCUCUCAGUUUCAGCUUGAGUCGGCAGGCAGGCCAUGGUGGUGGCUGGUGGGGAAGUCACCACUGCCCCAGGCCAGAGAGGAUUGCCUCUGAGCCAGGGAUGUCCAGGGCUGCCUCUGAGAGAGGUCAGGUGGGAGUGGACACGGGCAGGUCAACCACUGUCCCUGCCCCAUGACCCCGACACAGGUCAGAUGACCCAGAUGUGGGGGGCCAGGGCAGGAGCAGUUGAGGGGCCAGGCUAUCAGCUGAGUCGAAAGUUGGGACCCCAGGCUGACAGU
rnacentral:rRNA from 1 species